rnacentral:rRNA from 1 species
UACGGGGGGAGCAAGCGUUGUUCGGAUUUACUGGGCGUAAAGGGCGCGUAGGCGGUCAGCACAAGUCAGUUGUGAAAUCUCCGGGCUUAACUCGGAAAGGUCAACUGAUACUGUGCGACUAGAGUGCAGAAGGGGCAACUGGAAUUCUCGGUGUAGCGGUGAAAUGCGUAGAUAUCGAGAGGAACACCUGCGGCGAAGGCGGGUCUCUGGGCCGUAACUGACGCUGAGGAGCGAAAGCGUGGGGGAGCGAACAGG